UACGAAGGGGCUAGCGUUGCUCGGAAUUACUGGGCGUAAAGCGCACGUAGGCGGCUUCUUAAGUCGGUGGUGAAAUCCUGGAGCUCAACUCCAGAACUGCCUUCGAUACUGGGAGCUCGAGUCCGGGAGAGGUGAGUGGAACGUGCGAGUGUAGAGGUGAAAUUCGUAGAUAUUCGCAAGAACACCAGUGGCGAAGGCGGCUCACUGGCCCGGUACUGACGCUGAGGUGCGAAAGCGUGGGAGCAACAGGGAUUAA
rnacentral:rRNA from 1 species